rnacentral:rRNA from 1 species
GCACAUUCUUGUCCGACGGUCGGACGCCCAACCCGAGCGCACGUCUGCUCGAACUGCUGAAAAGCGAUCCCCGCAUCAUCCGCCCGCCGCCGCGGCGAAGCCGCCCGUUCUUCCCCGCCUUCCUCCGCCCAAACGCGCAGGCCAUUCACUGGAAUUGGAGGAUAGGACUACAUUAGGUUUGAGGGUCGGCUUUUUAAGCAUACCUGCAGUAGACCGAUGACUCCAAAAUGGAGUGAGUGCCCUUCAAAUAGUCACAGAGAACUAUCUUUGCAUGAAAAUGAAAAUAAGGAUGGCAAUGUUUAUAAAAGGAGAAAGAUGGAUAAAGAUUCAAAUUCCCUUGUAGCAGAUGAAGAAGUUAAAGAACUGACAAUUCAAAGUUGCACUACCUCUGAAGAUCACUCUUCACUACUGCUCCCUGUUAUGAAUCCCUCAUAUCCAGUAUUUUCAAAUUUGAUGGCAGGUAAGAUAGACCCUGUCGUAGAGCUUGAAGAGCCUGCUGGAGUUUCAUUGGAGCCAAAUUCUGGUGUGAACGAAAGAUGUUCAGUGUCAAGUAUGCCACCAUCUUCCGUGAUACUAGACAAAAAGGAUGCUUCUGUAUGGUCCUCAUCAAAUAUACGCCCUACAGAACCGAUAAGGGAGCUCACAUCAGCAAGGGAUCUAUGCAUUGCUAUACUGAGAAAAGAUGGACUCAUAACUGAGUCACAAACUAGAAUCAUUUUAGAGGAAUCCACUGAUUGUAAUGCCAACCACUUGGUGACAUGCAAUACUUGUGGAAGCUUGGAUGUUCCACUAAAGAUGCUUAUAUGUGAUUCUUGUGAAGCAGCAUUCCAUUUGCCUUGUUGCAUCCCUUGUAUUAAGGUGGUACCAGCUGGUGAAUGGUAUUGUCAGCCAUGCUUGAAGAAGAAACCUAAGAGUCUUUAUGGUCAACUGUUAGAGGGCAAGGUCAAGUCUUCCGGGAAUAUGGACCAAAGGCCUCAUGGCAUGAGUCAUACAGAGUACAUGUUCAACGAUGCUGAAUCAUACGUUACUGGGGUUCGACUUGGUGGAGAUUUCCAAGCUGAAGUGCCAGAAUGGUCUGGUCCCAUUUCCAGUAGCGAUGGUUAUUUCACAGCGCCCUCUGAAUUUGAUCCUGCUGAACUCAUGAAACUGAAUUUCUGUUCAAAGAAUAAUCACAACAAAUCUUCAAGUUCAACUGGUAAUUGGGUACAAUGCCGUGAGGUCUUGAGCACAGGAGAUCCUAACAAGCCAGUAAUCUGUGGCAAGUGGAGAAGGGCACCCCUAUAUGUUGGUCAGUCAGAUGAUUGGGAUUGUUUUUGUUGUCUUCUCUGGGAUCCAGCUCAUGCUGAUUGUGCUGUUCCACAGGAGUUGGAUACAGAUGAAGUCUUAAAGCAGCUGAAGUAUGUAAAUGCGGUGAAGAAUCGGCUGGCUGACCGUAAGCAUAAGCCUGCUUAAAUGCAAGGAUGGCACAGUUGUGAAAUACCUCACAAAGGAUGUCAUGUGGUGAGCCAUCUGGUCAACACAAUCUGUUGGCGACUCUUCAUUUAAUUGACCAUAGUCGUCCUCCCCCCUUUCAGUUGCCAACAUAGGUUUUGAUCCAAAAGAAUUUUACAACAUGGUAACGCAGUUUUCACAGCAGUGAGCCAUCUGUUGUCAACACAAUCUGUUGGUGACUCUUCAUUUAAUUGACCAUAGUCGUCCUCCCCCCUUUCAGUUGCCAACAUAGGUUUUGAUCCAAAAGAAUUUUACAACAUGGUAACGCAGUUUUCACAGCAGUGUACCGCUACUGAUUUCAGCCGUCACUGCCAAACAAUCUGCACCCAGUUUUGUUCGAUUUGACUUUUGGAUGAGAGGGAACCAGCUAGCUAUGAUUGUCAUUCUACAAAUUUAUUUGAUGUUUGUAUCUUAAGAGGGGACCAAGUUGGAUUCCAUUUUGUAAUGCAUGUUAGUCAUGUGUUUGCAGAAUCUGUAGAUACUGAGUUCGACCGUGCCCCAAAGAACUGACAUUCUGCAUCGGCAGUCAACUUUUUGUACAAAUGAAAUGAUCAUUACAUCAGAGUUGAUAUCUUCUAGCUGUUUCUGCAUUGGAUGCAUAUACUGAUAUUCUGGAAGUGUUCCAGAAUUAUCGUUUUCAAGUUUCAUUUUGUUGAUUAUUACUUGCGGUAGUCCAGGCUUGUGUUGUGUGUUAGGUUGCUUGCAUGAUGAGGUCCGUGAGGUUGAACUAAUCCAUCAAGAUGCAUCUUUUGUUUUUCUUGCGAGCUUGAACUUAUCCAGCAAGAUCCAUUUUUUUUGCCUUUUUUUAGGUUGAACUGAUCCAGCAAGAUGCUUCUUUUGGAUUUUUUAGAGGUUCUUUGGUUCCCUGCAUUUAAACUUGACCUGGGCCAUGCCAUGCC